rnacentral:rRNA from 1 species
AUGUGCGGAAAUCUGUCUUCUAUAUCUUCCAACUUCUGGUGGGGUGAAACGAAUGGUAAAAAAAAGGUGCAUUGGAUCGCUUGGGACAAGAUGUGCACAAGAAAAACAGGAGGGGGCCUUGGCUUUCGAGGCCCGGAGGCGUUUAACCAAGCUAUGCUCGCCAAGCAAGCAUGGAGGAUGAUGCAGGAACCGAACUCUCUAUGUGCGAGGGUUCUGAAGGCUCGGUACUUUCCCGAAGGAUCUAUCCUAAAUGCAACUUGUCCAGAGGGAGGCUCUUACUUUCAAAAGCAUUCUACAUGGCAGGAACCUUCUGUUGGAUGGGCUCAUAUGGAGGAUUGGGGAUGGAGCACGUGUGAAAAUACAUCAUGA